CAGAUGGGAGCUUGCUCCCUGAUGUUAGCGGCGGACGGGUGAGUAACACGUGGGUAACCUGCCUGUAAGACUGGGAUAACUCCGGGAAACCGGGGCUAAUACCGGAUGGUUGUUUGAACCGCAUGGUUCAAACAUAAAAGGUGGCUUCGGCUACCACUUACAGAUGGACCCGCGGCGCAUUAGCUAGUUGGUGAGGUAACGGCUCACCAAGGCAACGAUGCGUAGCCGACCUGAGAGGGUGAUCGGCCACACUGGGACUGAGACACGGCCCAGACUCCUACGGGAGGCAGCAGUAGGGAAUCUUCCGCAAUGGACGAAAGUCUGACGGAGCAACGCCGCGUGAGUGAUGAAGGUUUUCGGAUCGUAAAGCUCUGUUGUUAGGGAAGAACAAGUACCGUUCGAAUAGGGCGGUACCUUGACGGUACCUAACCAGAAAGCCACGGCUAACUACGUGCCAGCAGCCGCGGUAAUACGUAGGUGGCAAGCGUUGUCCGGAAUUAUUGGGGCGUACGGGGCUCGCAGGCCGUUUUCGUAAGUCAG
rnacentral:rRNA from 1 species